rnacentral:rRNA from 1 species
UACGUAGGGUGCAAGCGUUGUCCGGAAUUAUUGGGCGUAAAGAGCUCGUAGGCGGCUUGUCGCGUCGACCGUGAAAACUUGUGGCUCAACCACAAGCUGGCGGUCGAUACGGGCAGGCUGGAGUUCGGUAGGGGAGACUGGAAUUCCUGGUGUAGCGGUGAAAUGCGCAGAUAUCAGGAAGAACACCCGUGGCGAAGGCGGCUCUCUGGGACGGUACUGACGCUGAGACGCGAAAGCGUGGGGAGCGAACAGG